rnacentral:tRNA from 1 species
AUCUUUUUAGUAUAAUAAAUAUAAUUAACUUCCAAUUAAUAGAUCUCUUAAAAGAGAAAAGAUA